rnacentral:snRNA from 1 species
AUCAUUUCUCAACUUUUUGGCUAAGAUCAAGUGUAGUACCUGUUCUUAUCAGUUUAAUACCUGAUACAUUCAUUAUCCAAAGACAAUAUAUUGUUUCCACUGGACCAUGCAUCAACCUGGUAUUGCAGUGUCUCUAGGAAUAGUGCACCCCUU